rnacentral:rRNA from 1 species
CCUACGGGUGGCAGCAGUAGGGAAUCUUCCACAAUGGGCGAAAGCCUGAUGCAGCAACGCCGCGUGGGUGAAGAAGGCCUUCGGAUUGUAAAACCCUGUCAUCAGAGAAGAAAGUGAGUGAGAUUAACUGAUCACCUUUCGACGGUAUCUAACCAGCAAGCACCGGCUAACUACGUGCCAGCAGCCGCGGUAAUACGUAGGGGGCAAGCGUUAUCCGGAUUGAUUGGGCGUAAAGGGAACGCAGGCGGUCUGUCAAGUCUGAUGUGAAAGCCAUGGGCUCAACCGGUGUAGUGCAUUGGAAACUGGGAGACUGGAGUGCAGAAGAGGUGAGGGGAAUGCCUAGUGUAGCGGUGAAAUGCGUAGAUAUCAGGAGGAACACCAGUGGCGAAGGCGGCUCUCUGGACAGUAACUGACGCUGAGGUUCGAAAGCGUGGGGAGCAAACAGGAUUAGAUACCCGAGUAGUC